rnacentral:rRNA from 1 species
ACUCCUGCGGGAGGCAGCAGUGGGGAAUUUUGGACAAUGGGCGAAAGCCUGAUCCAGCAAUGCCGCGUGAGUGAAGAAGGCCUUCGGGUUGUAAAGCUCUUUUGUCAGGGAAGAAACGGUGAAAGCUAAUAUCUUUUGCUAAUGACGGUACCUGAAGAAUAAGCACCGGCUAACUACGUGCCAGCAGCCGCGGUAAUACGUAGGGUGCAAGCGUUAAUCGGAAUUACUGGGCGUAAAGCGUGCGCAGGCGGUUUUGUAAGUCUGAUGUGAAAUCCCCGGGCUCAACCUGGGAAUUGCAUUGGAGACUGCAAGGCUAGAAUCUGGCAGAGGGGGGUAGAAUUCCACGUGUAGCAGUGAAAUGCGUAGAUAUGUGGAGGAACACCGAUGGCGAAGGCAGCCCCCUGGGUCAAGAUUGACGCUCAUGCACGAAAGCGUGGGGAGCAAACAGGAUUAGAAACCCGAGUAGUCCCAUGA